rnacentral:rRNA from 1 species
AGUGAACGCUGGCGGUAGGCCUAACACAUGCAAGUCGAACGGCAGCACAGGAGAGCUUGCUCUCUGGGUGGCGAGUGGCGGACGGGUGAGGAAUACAUCGGAAUCUACUCUGUCGUGGGGGAUAACGUAGGGAAACUUACGCUAAUACCGCACACGACCUACGGGUGAAAGCAGGGGAUCUUCGGACCUUGCGCGAUUGAAUGAGCCGAUGUCGGAUUAGCCAGUUGGCGGGGUAAAGGCCCACCAAGGCGACGAUCCGUAGCUGGUCUGAGAGGAUGAUCAGCCACUCUGGAACUGAGACACGGUCCAGACUCCUACGGGAGGCAGCAGUGGGGAAUAUUGGACAAUGGGCGCAAGCCUGAUCCAGCCAUACCGCGUGGGUGAAGAAGGCCUUCGGGUUGUAAAGCCCUUUUGUUGGGAAAGAAAUCCAGCUGGCUAAUACCCGGUUGGGAUGACGGUACCCAAAGAAUAAGCACCGGCUAACUUCGUGCCAGCCGCCGCCGUAA